UACAGAGGUCUCAAGCGUUGUUCGGAUUCAUUGGGCGUAAAGGGUGCGUAGGCGGCGCGGUAAGUCGGGUGUGAAAUCUCGGGCUUAACUCCGAAACUGCAUUCGAUACUGCCGUGCUUGAGGACUGGAGAGGAGACUGGAAUUUACGGUGUAGCGGUGAAAUGCGUAGAUAUCUGGAGGAACACCGGUGGCGAAGGCGCACUCCUGG
rnacentral:rRNA from 1 species